AGAUCCUAUCUGGCAGUUCGAACGAGAGACCUUCGGGUCUCCACGUGGCGAACGGGUGAAUAACACGUAGGGAACCUGCCCGCGCACCGGGAAUACGCUCUGGAAACGGAGAACAAAUCCCGAUGUACAGGAAGGAGGCAUCUUCUUUCUGUGAAACAUCCUUUCGGGGAUGGGGCGCGGAUGGACCUGCGGUGCAUUAGUUUGUUGGCGGGGUAAAGGCCCACCAAGACGAUGAUGCAUAGCCGGCCUGAGAGGGCGGACGGCCACAUUGGGACUGAGACACGGCCCAGACUCCUGCGGGAGGCAGCAGUAGGGAAUUUUCGUCAAUGGGCGCAAGCCUGAACGAGCGAUGCCGCGUGAGUGAAGAAGGCCUUCGGGUCGUAAAGCUCUGUUGCGGGGGAAAAAAGGCGGCAUCAGGAAAUGGGUGCUGACUGAUGGUGCCCCGCCAGAAAGUCACGGCUAACUACGUGCCAGCAGCCGCGGUAAUACGUAGGUGGCGAGCGUUAUCCGGAAUGAUUGGGCGUAAAGGGUGCGCAGGCGGUCCUGCAAGUCUGGAGUGAAACGCAUGAGCUCAACUCAUGCAUGGCUUUGGAAACUGGAGGACUGGAGAGCAGGAGAGGGCGGUGGAACUCCAUGUGUAGCGGUAAAAUGCGUANAUAUAUGGAAGAACACCAGUGGCGAAGGCGGCCGCCUGGCCUGUUGCUGACGCUGAGGCACGAAAGCGGGGGGAGCAAAUAGGAUUAGAUACCC
rnacentral:rRNA from 1 species